AGUGAACGCUGGCGGUAGGCCUAACACAUGCAAGUCGAACGGCAGCACAGUAAGAGCUUGCUCUUACGGGUGGCGAGUGGCGGACGGGUGAGGAAUACAUCGGAAUCUACUUUUUCGUGGGGGAUAACGUAGGGAAACUUACGCUAAUACCGCGUACGACCUACGGGUGAAAGCAGGGGAUCUUCGGACCUUGCGCGAUUGAAUGAGCCGAUGUCGGAUUAGCUAGUUGGCGGGGUAAAGGCCCACCAAGGCGACGAUCCGUAGCUGGUCUGAGAGGAUGAUCAGCCACACUGGAACUGAGACACGGUCCAGACGCCUACGGGAGGCAGCAGUGGGGAAUAUUGGACAAUGGGCGCAAGCCUGAUCCAGCCAUACCGCGUGGGUGAAGAAGGCCUUCGGGUUGUAAAGCCCUUUUGUUGGGAAAGAAAAGCAGCAGGUUAAUACCCCGCUGUUCUGACGGUACCCAAAGAAUAAGCACCGGCUAACUUCGUG
rnacentral:rRNA from 1 species